GAGCGAUCAUAAGGGAGCUGACUGCAAAUCUGCCGUCAUCGACUUCAAGGUUCGACUCGAGCAAUAGUGAGAGAACGUUGCCGCAGACAACGGUCCGAAGGGUGAGGAGCUUUAGCUCCGAAUAAUCCUUCCCGCUAUAGAA
rnacentral:sRNA from 1 species